AUUGAACGCUGGCGGCAGGCCUAACACAUGCAAGUCGAGCGGAUGAAGGGAGCUUGCUCCUGGAUUCAGCGGCGGACGGGUGAGUAAUGCCUAGGAAUCUGCCUGGUAGUGGGGGGUAACGUCCGGAAACGGGCGCUAAUACCGCAUACGUCCUGAGGGAGAAAGUGGGGGAUCUUCGGACCUCACGCUAUCAGAUGAGCCUAGGUCGGAUUAGCUAGUUGGUGGGGUAAAGGCCUACCAAGGCGACGAUCCGUAACUGGUCUGAGAGGAUGAUCAGUCACACUGGAACUGAGACACGGUCCAGACUCCUACGGGAGGCAGCAGUGGGGAAUAUUGGACAAUGGGCGAAAGCCUGAUCCAGCCAUGCCGCGUGUGUAAAGAAGGUCUUCGGAUUGUAAAGCACUUUAAGUUGGGAGGAAGGGCAGUAAGUUAAUACCUUGCUGUUUUGACGUUACCAGCAGAAUAAGCACCGGCUAACUUCGUG
rnacentral:rRNA from 1 species